UACAGAGGUGGCAAGCGUUGUUCGGAAUUACUGGGCGUAAAGGGCGCGUAGGCGGCCUUCUAAGUCAGACGUGAAAUCCCCCGGCUUAACCUGGGAACUGCGUCUGAUACUGGGAGGCUUGAGUAUGGGAGAGGGAUGUAGAAUUCCAGGUGUAGCGGUGAAAUGCGUAGAUAUCUGGAGGAAUACCGGUGGCGAAGGCGGCAUCCUGGACCGGGAUUGACACUGAGGCGCGAAAGCCAGGGGAGCAAACGGG
rnacentral:rRNA from 1 species